AUUGAACGCUGGCGGCAGGCCUAACACACGCAAGUCGAACGGUAGCACAGAGAGCUUGCUCUCGGGUGACGAGUGGCGGACGGGUGAGUAACGUCUGGGAAACUGCCCGAUGGAGGGGGAUAACUACUGGAAACGGUAGCUAAUACCGCAUAACGUCGCAAGACCAAAGUGGGGGACCUUCGGGCCUCACACCAUCGGAUGUGCCCAGAUGGGAUUAGCUAGUAGGUGGGGUAAUGGCUCACCUAGGCGACGAUCCCUAGCUGGCCUGAGAGGAUGACCAGCCACACUGGAACUGAGACACGGUCCAGACUCCUACGGGAGGCAGCAGUGGGGAAUAUUGCACAAUGGGCGCAAGCCUGAUGCAGCCAUGCCGCGUGUAUGAAGAAGGCCUUCGGGUUGUAAAGUACUUUCAGCGGGGAGGAAGGCGGUGAAGUUAAUAGCUUCACCGAUUGACGUUACCCGCAGAAGAAGCACCGGCUAACUCCGUGCCAGCAGCCGCCGUAA
rnacentral:rRNA from 1 species